GACGGAGGGUGCUAGCGUUGUUCGGAAUCACUGGGCGUAAAGGGCGCGUAGGCGGCCUUGCAAGUCGGUUGGUGAAAGCCCGGGGCUCAACCCCGGAGGUGCGGCCGAGACUGCAGGGCUGGAGGCCGGAAGAGGAGGGUGGAAUACCCAGUGUAGAGGUGAAAUUCGUAGAUAUUGGGUGGAACACCGGUGGCGAAAGCGGCUCUCUGGUCCGGACCUGACGCUGAAACGCGAAAGCUAGGGGAGCGAACGGG
rnacentral:rRNA from 1 species